UUUGGAUGAGAGAUCUAUGUUUGUCACAGAAAUGGCAUCAUCGGAGGCAGUAACAACCAUCAAGGUUAAUGGUAAUUCUCACAAUAAUAACAAGUUAACAACAACAACAAUUCCUCUUCGGAGCUAAACAACAAUGUUCAUUCUUCACCUUCUUCUUCCACCUCACCCAAAGACGCGGAAGCUGCACUUUACAAGGAGCUAAGGCAUGCGUGUGUAAGUCCUCUUGUUACAGUUCCAAGAAAAGGAGAAAGAGUUUUCUAUUUCCCUCAGGGACACAGAGAAUAGUUGGCCUGCACUUGGACGUCUCAUACCCUAAUUUACUUCCGAAAUAGAUUAUUCAUAAAGUGUAUUGUGGAGCUUUCCAUGUGGUUGCU